GUGUUUGCUUCAGCAGCACAUAUACUAAAAUUGGAAUACUAUAAAGAAGAUUAGCAUGGCCCCUGUGUAAAGAUGACAUGAAAAUUUGUGAAUCAUUCCAUAUUUAA